UACGUAGGCAGCGAGCGUUGUUCGGAAUUACUGGGCGUAAAGAGUGUGUAGGCGGUGCUCUAAGUUCGGUGUGAAAUCUCCUGGCUCAACUGGGAGGGUGCGCCGGAAACUGGAGUGCUUGAGCGUGGGAGAGGAAAGCGGAAUUCCUGGUGUAGCGGUGAAAUGACGCAGAUAUCAGGAGGAACACCGGUGGCGAAGGCGGGACUCUGGGCCGAUACUGACGCUGGAGGAGCGGAAAGCCAGGGGAGCAAACAGG
rnacentral:rRNA from 1 species